rnacentral:rRNA from 1 species
UACGAAGGGGGCUAGCGUUGCUCGGAAUCACUGGGCGUAAAGGGUGCGUAGGCGGGUCUUUAAGUCAGGGGUGAAAUCCUGGAGCUCAACUCCAGAACUGCCUUUGAUACUGAGGAUCUUGAGUUCGGGAGAGGUGAGUGGAACUGCGAGUGUAGAGGUGAAAUUCGUAGAUAUUCGCAAGAACAGCAGUGGCGAAGGCGGCUCACUGGCCCGAUACUGACGCUGAGGCACGAAAGCGUGGGGAGCAAACGGG